UACGGCCCCAUCAUGUUGAAACGCCGGGUUCUUUAAGAUCACCUAAGUUAAACAACGUUGAGCCUGGUCAGUACUAAGAUGGGUGACCGCAUAGGAAUACUAAGUGCU